ACGGCAGCACCGACAACAACGGCAGCACCAACUACAGCUGCCAGUGCUUUAACUACAGUUGCCAGUGCUGCAACUACAGUUACCCCUACAACAAGGCUAUUGGUUACUUUCAGAUCUCAAGGAGAGACAUUUACAAGUGAUUUGCAGGUUCCAUCAUCUGCAGCGUUUCAAAAUCGAGCCGCAUUGAUAGAGUCAACACUCAAACCUUUACUCAAAGAAGCUUUUCCUUCCUUACACAAUAUUACUGUGAUUUCAUUCAGCGAAGGAUCAAUCAUCCAAAACGUAGUCAUUGAAUUUUUAUCAACAUCUGCUCCUAAUGGCACUGAGAUUGGAAAGGUUUUUGCCGCUGCAUCUUGUAUCAUCAGAACCUUCAACAUUGACACAUUCUCCAUUUCUGUGGAUGGCACACUCUUUACACAGGUUUCAAGUGGAGUAAGCCACAACAUCAGUCUCAUCACUGCAUCCUUCCUUGUGCUGAUGUCAUGGAUCCUGUCAAGCCAGCAAUAGCAUCAUUGCUGAUUACCGUUUGAAUUGGCUUUAUUGCAUGACUGCCAUCACUUGCAUGACAAAUUACUUCUUGAUUCUUGUCGAAGAAGUCUUGUACAGCGUCAUAUAUACUUACUAUCACAUUUUAUUUUGAAAUUACGGAACAUAUUUAUGACAGUGGAUUAGGUUUAUGUCAAUCUUAACACGUUUCUGGGUGGGAAUGUCCAGGAUCCUUCACCGAGCAGAACGA